rnacentral:rRNA from 1 species
GACGAACGCUGGCGGCGUGCUUAACACAUGCAAGUCGAACGAUGAACCCGGAGCUUGCUCCGGCGGAUUAGUGGCGAACGGGUGAGUAACACGUGAGUAACCUGCCCUUGACUCUGGGAUAACUGCGGGAAACUGUAGCUAAUACCGGAUACGACCCUCGGAGGCAUCUCCUGGGGGUGGAAAGAAUUUCGGUCAAGGAUGGACUCGCGGCCUAUCAGCUAGUUGGUGAGGUAAAGGCUCACCAAGGCGACGACGGGUAGCCGGCCUGAGAGGGUGACCGGCCACACUGGGACUGAGACACGGCCCAGACUCCUACGGGGGGCAGCAGUGGGGAAUACUGCACAAUGGGCGCAAGCCUGAUGCAGCAACGCCGCGUGAGGGAUGACGGCCUUCGGGUUGUAAACCUCUUUUAGCAGGGAAGAAGCGAAAGUGACGGUACCUGCAGAAAAAGCACCGGCUAACUACGUGCCAGCCGCCGCCGUAA